UACGUAGGGGGCAAGCGUUGUCCGGAAUUAUUGGGCGUAAAGAGCGUGUAGGCGGUCCGGUAAGUCCGCUGUGAAAGUCCAGGGCUCAACCCUGGAAUGCCGGUGGAUACUGUCGGGCUAGAGUCCGGAAGAGGCGAGUGGAAUUCCUGGUGUAGCGGUGGAAUGCGCAGAUAUCAGGAGGAACACCGAUAGCGAAGGCAGCUCGCUGGGACGGUACUGACGCUGAGGUGCGAAAGCGUGGGGAGCGAACAGG
rnacentral:rRNA from 1 species